rnacentral:rRNA from 1 species
CCCUUAGAUGUCCGGGGCCGCACGCGCGUUACACUGAAGGAAUCAGCGUGGCUUUCUCCCUGACCCGAAAGGGUUGGGAAACCCGUUGAACAUCCUUCGUGAUAGGGAUUGGGGCUUGAAAUUGUUCCCCAUGAACGAGGAAUUCCCAGUAAGCGCGAGUCAUAAGCUCGCGUUGAUUACGUCCCUGCCCUUUGUACACACCGCCCGUCGCUACUACCGAUUGAACGGUUUAGUGAGGGCCUCGGAUUGGUCUCGGCCCGCUCUUUACCGGGCGGCGCCGUUGGUCGAGAAGACGCUCGAACUUGAUCGUUUAGAGGAAGUAAAAGUCGUAACA